GGUCAAGUGAAGAAGCGCAUACGGUGGAUGCCUUGGCAGUCAGAGGCGAUGAAAGACGUGGUAGCCUGCGAAAAGCUUCGGGGAGUCGGCAAACAGACUUUGAUCCGGAGAUCUCUGAAUGGGGGAACCCACCUAGGAUAACCUAGGUAUCUUGUACUGAAUCCAUAGGUGCAAGAGGCGAACCAGGGGAACUGAAACAUCUAAGUACCCUGAGGAAAAGAAAUCAACCGAGAUUCCCUUAGUAGUGGCGAGCGAACGGGGAUUAGCCCUUAAGCUUCAUUGAUUUUAGCGGAACGCUCUGGAAAGUGCGGCCAUAGUGGGUGAUAGCCCCGUACGCGAAAGGAUCUUUGAAGUGAAAUCGAGUAGGACGGAGCACGAGAAACUUUGUCUGAACAUGGGGGGACCAUCCUCCAAGGCUAAAUACUACUGACUGACCGAUAGUGAACCAGUACCGUGAGGGAAAGGCGAAAAGAACCCCGGAGAGGGGAGUGAAAUAGAACCUGAAACCGUAUGCGUACAAGCAGUGGGAGCCUACUUGUUAGGUGACUGCGUACCUUUUGUAUAAUGGGUCAGCGACUUAUAUUCAGUGGCAAGCUUAACCGUAUAGGGUAGGCGUAGCGAAAGCGAGUCUUAAUAGGGCGUUUAGUCGCUGGGUAUAGACCCGAAACCGGGCGAUCUAUCCAUGAGCAGGUUGAAGGUUAGGUAACACUGACUGGAGGACCGAACCCACUCCCGUUGAAAAGGUAGGGGAUGACUUGUGGAUCGGAGUGAAAGGCUAAUCAAGCUCGGAGAUAGCUGGUUCUCCUCGAAAGCUAUUUAGGUAGCGCCUCAUGUAUCACUCUGGGGGGUAGAGCACUGUUUCGGCUAGGGGGUCAUCCCGACUUACCAAACCGAUGCAAACUCCGAAUACCCAGAAGUGCCGAGCAUGGGAGACACACGGCGGGUGCUAACGUCCGUCGUGAAAAGGGAAACAACCCAGACCGCCAGCUAAGGUCCCAAAGUUGUGGUUAAGUGGUAAACGAUGUGGGAAGGCUUAGACAGCUAGGAGGUUGGCUUAGAAGCAGCCAUCCUUUAAAGAAAGCGUAAUAGCUCACUAGUCGAGUCGGCCUGCGCGGAAGAUGUAACGGGGCUCAAACCACACACCGAAGCUGCGGGUGUCACGUAAGUGACGCGGUAGAGGAGCGUUCUGUAAGCCUGUGAAGGUGAGUUGAGAAGCUUGCUGGAGGUAUCAGAAGUGCGAAUGCUGACAUGAGUAACGACAAUGGGUGUGAAAAACACCCACGCCGAAAGACCAAGGGUUCCUGCGCAACGUUAAUCGACGCAGGGUUAGUCGGUUCCUAAGGCGAGGCUGAAAAGCGUAGUCGAUGGGAAACAGGUUAAUAUUCCUGUACUUCUGGUUACUGCGAUGGAGGGACGGAGAAGGCUAGGCCAGCUUGGCGUUGGUUGUCCAAGUUUAAGGUGGUAGGCUGAAAUCUUAGGUAAAUCCGGGGUUUCAAGGCCGAGAGCUGAUGACGAGUCGUCUUUUAGAUGACGAAGUGGUUGAUGCCAUGCUUCCAAGAAAAGCUUCUAAGCUUCAGGUAACCAGGAACCGUACCCCAAACCGACACAGGUGGUCGGGUAGAGAAUACCAAGGCGCUUGAGAGAACUCGGGUGAAGGAACUAGGCAAAAUGGCACCGUAACUUCGGGAGAAGGUGCGCCGGCUAGGGUGAAGGAUUUACUCCGUAAGCUCUGGCUGGUCGAAGAUACCAGGCCGCUGCGUCUUGAUCGAAGCCCCGGUAAACGGCGGCCGUAACUAUAACGGUCCUAAGGUAGCGAAAUUCCUUGUCGGGUAAGUUCCGACCUGCACGAAUGGCGUAACGAUGGCGGCGCUGUCUCCACCCGAGACUCAGUGAAAUUGAAAUCGCUGUGAAGAUGCAGUGUAUCCGCGGCUAGACGGAAAGACCCCGUGAACCUUUACUGUAGCUUUGCACUGGACUUUGAGCCUGCUUGUGUAGGAUAGGUGGGAGGCUUUGAAGCGUGGACGCCAGUUCGCGUGGAGCCAUCCUUGAAAUACCACCCUGGCAUGCUUGAGGUUCUAACUCUGGUCCGUGAUCCGGAUCGAGGACAGUGUAUGGUGGGCAGUUUGACUGGGGCGGUCUCCUCCUAAAGAGUAACGGAGGAGUACGAAGGUGCGCUAAGGUACUCCGGGGAUAACAGGCUGAUACCGCCCAAGAGUUCAUAUCGACGGCGGUGUUUGGCACCUCGAUGUCGGCUCAUCACAUCCUGGGGCUGAAGCCGGUCCCAAGGGUAUGGCUGUUCGCCAUUUAAAGUGGUACGCGAGCUGGGUUUAGAACGUCGUGAGACAGUUCGGUCCCUAUCUGCCGUGGACGUUUGAGAUUUGAGAGGGGCUGCUCCUAGUACGAGAGGACCGGAGUGGACGAACCUCUGGUGUUCCGGUUGUCACGCCAGUGGCAUUGCCGGGUAGCUAUGUUCGGAAAAGAUAACCGCUGAAAGCAUCUAAGCGGGAAACUUGCCUCAAGAUGAGAUCUCACUGGGAACUUGAUUCCCCUGAAGGGCCGUCGAAGACUACGACGUUGAUAGGCUGGGUGUGUAAGCGUUGUGAGGCGUUGAGCUAACCAGUACUAAUUGCCCGUGAGGCUUGACCAU
rnacentral:rRNA from 1 species